UUGAUUUUGUGGCGGACUGGGAUGAGAACCUCAGGUUCGACCAGUGAGCGUAGCGAACUGGAACGGCGAAGCCGGCCCGCAGGGUGAGCGCGUAGCGCGAGUGAUCCUAGUCCGCCAGCCA
rnacentral:sRNA from 1 species